rnacentral:lncRNA from 1 species
UCCUGUAUGCAGUAUGGUAGGUCCAUAAUAAAUCAUCUAAUCAUCCAGACCAAUAUUUUUGAUUAGGCCUAACUGUCUUCUAAAGAAUUCAUUUGAUCUUCCUAUUGGAGAUUUUCACUUGGCCACUAGUCUGAAGGUGGUUGUUGGAAAAUAUAGAUGAUUUCAUGCAUGUAUUUCGAUAUUUUUUUAAAUAAAUUACAGUGAAAAAGUAAAUAGAUCAAUCAAAUUAAUCUAACAUGCAUAUGAUCUAAUCAUCAAAUCAACCUACUCUAGGA